UCGAACUAAGAAUGCUUUAGAUUAGUUAUGGCCUAGUCUAGUCCUAGACUGGGGUGGAGCACAUAGAAAACAAGCAUGAAAGCAAGCUGGAGAGUUUGCAGGCCAAACGUGAAUUCUACUUGAAUGGGAAUGCAGUUCAAACUUUUUGAAAAGGAAGGCUUUUGAGCAACAACAGUCUGUGUGGUGGAUAUAUACAUAACCUGCACCUGGACUUCAGCUUGAC